rnacentral:rRNA from 1 species
UACGUAGGGACCAAGCGUUGUUCGGAUUUACUGGGCGUAAAGGGCUCGUAGGUGGCCAACUAAGUCAGACGUGAAAUCCCUCGGCUUAACCGGGGAACUGCGUCUGAUACUGGAUGGCUUGAGUUUGGGAGAGGGAUGCGGAAUUCCAGGUGUAGCGGUGAAAUGCGUAGAUAUCUGGAGGAACACCGGUGGCGAAGGCGGCAUCCUGGACCAACACUGACACUGAGGAGCGAAAGCCAGGGGAGCAAACGGG